rnacentral:rRNA from 1 species
AGAUGGCGACCGGCGCACGGGUGAGUAACACGUAUCCAACCUGCCGAUAACUCGGGGAUAGCCUUUCGAAAGAAAGAUUAAUACCCGAUGGUAUAAUCAGACCGCAUGGUCUUGUUAUUAAAGAAUUUCGGUUAUCGAUGGGGGUGCGUUCCAUUAGGCAGUUGGUGAGGUAACGGCUCACCAAACCUUCGAUGGAUAGGGGUUCUGAGAGGAAGGUCCCCCACAUUGGAACUGAGACACGGUCCAA